rnacentral:RNase_P_RNA from 2 species
UCCUCUUCAACGCUGCGUUUCUAUGCUACAAACAGAUAUGUUGCGAUUCAGUUCGCAGCGCAUCAGAUCUCCGGAUCGUCUCCCUUGCAUAUGAGAAAUUCGGAGUAAUCUUCAAAACCACCUUCUUCCUCUUCCUCCGGGGAGAGUGACAGGUCUGCCCGUGAGGGUUCGACGUGAUCUCACGUCUGCAAUUGGCAUCAGAAAAGCAGGGCAAGUCUCUUCUCAUAUACCGAGCCUCCGGGCGAGGGACAGAGAUCUGUGCUUGUUCCUAUGGGAGAGCCGUUGCGAAGAUUGUGUGCAUACGUGCGACACUUGAGUGCAAUACGCGGCGUGCUCGUCUUCGAGUCACUUCGGUGACUGGGAGAUGGGUACAAUUCGAUUCCGAUUACUCUGUUGAGGA